GGGGGGAGGCAGGAUCCUGGGCUGUGUCCCCACGCCCUGUGCUGCCGGGCCUGCACUGUUGGAUUCGCGCUCCCCGACGCGCAGCCCCGACU
rnacentral:pre_miRNA from 1 species